AAAAUGUUCUUGGUUCCACGAAAAAAUUCGCAAAAUAGAAAAAUUCCUAAAAUGGAAGUUCGUUAAAUAGAAGUCCAACUGUAUUUCUAUAAGUCCUUUAAGAAGGCACCACACAGCAGGAAAAAAAUUUUAUCGCACAUUUACUUUCUCAUUCAUUACUAAUUUAAAAAAGAAAAAUUAAAUUCAUGCAACUCUAAAGUAAGUUAUGAAGUUUCAACUGCUGAAAGAAAUACUUCAAAAUAUUAAAAUGCGAACAAAUUAUUAGAAGAGAACUUCACCAAUUGCUUAAUCCUAAGUUAUCUUCUCCCAAUUUGUUUACAUUUGUAUCUUUUAAAAUUUUCUUUUCAGUAUUUAAAACUUCAUGGCUUACUCAAGGUUUGUCUGAACUCACUUUUUCUACACUUCAAAUUUCAAAUUAGUAAUGAAUGAAAAAGAGAAUUUCUCCUUCAUUACUAAAGAGCAUCCUCUUAACUAAAAUCAUAAAAAUAGGCCUUUAAAAUAAUAACAUAUUAUUUUUAAAAGGAAUUUACAGUAUUAAAUUAUUGAUUUCAAAGGUGCUUUUAUGAAUAAAUCUUAUACUUAAUUGUAGUAUUGUUUUGUUUUAGAAAAAUAAAUAUGUUUGCAUAUUAAUAAUAAUUUCUUUUUUUUAAGGAGGAUUUUUUGUUGCGCAAAAAUGUUCAAGAACAGAUAUCUACAUCAAUGUCCUCACUUUCAUCCUUAAGUCAUUUGUUACAAAAAAUAAGAAAUAUUGUCAUUCAUGAUGGUAUUGGUCAAAAGACCCACUAGAACAAGAAAGCAGUGAAGGCCGCUGGGCUGAUUCGGUGGAGUCAGUUGUUGCAAUUAAUGAAAAGAGUUGGAGAUCAAAGAUAAAUUGGAAGUCGCUAUGGAGAAAUCUUUAGAGGAAGGCAUUUGCCCACAUUGGGCUGUCUUUCCAACUGUGAUGAUGUUUUUUCUAAAGUUACUGUCAUGUAAGAUUCUUCUAGAAAUAAAGACAUGUGUUGUUGGCUCAGACACGUGUCUCAGUUAUGUGUAACUAUUAGUCUGUUCUGUUAACUUUAUCAUCUAAAUCAUUUGUUUCAUAUUCAUCAAAUAAAUGCUUAUUUCUGCAAAAA